CCUACGGGUGGCAGCAGUGGGGAAUAUUGGUCAAUGGAGGAAACUCUGAACCAGCAACGCCGCGUGAAUGAUGAAGGUCUUCGGAUUGUUAAGUUCUUUUUUAAGGGAAGAAGAAAGUGACGGUACCUUCUGAAUGAGCCUCGGCUAACUACGUGCCAGCAGCCGCGGUAAUACGUCGGAGGCGAGCGUAAUCCGGAUUGACUGGGCGUAAAGGGUGCGUAGGUGGUUUGACAAGUUGGUAGCGUAACUCAGAGGAUCAACCUCGGCACUGCUACCAACACUGUCGGCCUUGAGUGCAGGUGGGGCAAGUGGAAUUCCUAGUGUAGCGGUGGAAUGCGCAGAUAUUAGGAGGAACACCGGUGGCGAAGGCGGAUUGCUGGACUGUAACUGACACUGAGGCACGAAAGCGUGGGGAGCAAACAGGAUUAGAUACCCCAGUAGUC
rnacentral:rRNA from 1 species